CUGUGCCUACGGGACGCAGCAGUGAGGAAUAUUGGUCAAUGGGCUUACGCCUGAACCAGCCAAGUCGCGUGAGGGAAGACUGCCCUAUGGGUUGUAAACCUCUUUUGUCAGGGAGCAACGCCGGCUACGUGUAGCCGGACUGAGAGUACCUGAAGAAAAAGCAUCGGCUAACUCCGUGCCAGCAGCCGCGGUAAUACGGAGGAUGCGAGCGUUAUCCGGAUUUAUUGGGUUUAAAGGGUGCGUAGGCGGAAUGCCAAGUCAGCGGUAAAAUCGCGGGGCUCAACCUCGUAUCGCAAUUGAAACUG
rnacentral:rRNA from 1 species